rnacentral:rRNA from 1 species
CCUACGGGAGGCAGCAGUGAGGAAUAUUGGUCAAUGGACGCAAGUCUGAACCAGCCAUGCCGCGUGCAGGAAGACGGCUCUAUGAGUUGUAAACUGCUUUUGUACGAGGGUAAACGCAGAUACGCGUAUCUGUCUGAAAGUAUCGUACGAAAUAGGAUCGGCUAACUCCGUGCCAGCAGCCGCGGUAAUACGGAGGAUUCAAGCGUUAUCCGGAUUUAUUGGGUUUAAAGGGUGCGUAGGCGGUCGGAUAAGUUAGAGGUGAAAUCCCGAGGCUCAACUUCGGAAUUGCCUCUGAUACUGUUCGGCUAGAGAGUAGUUGCGGUAGGCGGAAUGUAUGGUGUAGCGGUGAAAUGCUUAGAUAUCACGAAGAACCCCGAUUGCGAAGGCAGCCUGCCGCAGCGUUACUGACGCUGAAGCUCGAAAGCGCGGGUAUCGAACAGGAUUAGAUACCCCAGUAGUC